UGUCCAGGGAUGGGAAUCGAACCCACAAUGUUCCGCUUACCGGGCAGAUGCCAUGUCCACUAGGUUACCCUGGGC